rnacentral:misc_RNA from 1 species
AAUUUCCUGACAUCUUGGGCAAACAUUCAUGGAGGAUUCAAUAAUAUUAAUAUCAGAUAACCAGCUUCUUGUGCAUAUUCUCUCAUGGCAAGCAAGCCAGACAAUUAUUUUAGCUCUGGGUGGAGCUAGUCCCUGUUUGGACAAAGCUGGAUGGAGUUCAGUGUUACCAGUAGGUGUGAAAGAAGAAAUAGCUCCUAUUCGAAUAA